ensembl:lncRNA
UUUGAAGCAAAAAUUAAUCCUUAAAUACUAACUUUUUUUGCUAUUUUAUAAUUCACAAGGGUGUAAAUCCUGACAGCUUUGGAGGUUUUGGAUACUUGUGAAGAUGUACAUCAAGAGCUGUCAUGCCUUUUCUGAAGUCCCCGGCUGGAAUGUGCAUGUCUGUGGGUCAGCCCCUUGGCUACUCCCUGGUAUUUCUGGUAUCCUCAGGCUCUGGGACUUCACCUCCUUCUUCCUCAGAAAGACCUCUGGAAAGUUCAAAGUGUCAAGAAAAUUCUUGCAGAACUGUGAUAAGACAUGCGUUCAAGCAGUGAAGACUUCCAUAACACUGGCUAAAUGCCUUAUUAAUCUAACAUGUGUCAGUCUCCCAUCUGACACUUGGCGCCUCUUCAGAGCUCCAUUGACUUCAGUGAGGCAUGAAAUUGAGAAAGAAUUGCAGUUAAGUCUGCUUAAAACAGAAUUGCAACUAUUUAUGCCAAGCUGCAGAGAGAGCAAAACUCUUGAUAGUGAAAAGAAAUUCUGCACAAGUGAAAAUAGAAAAAAAAUGGAUCUGACAAAGCUUUUGAAAGUUUACAGUAAGUAGGUAAAGUGAACAAUAUUUUGGUUUCUUCCAUCUGUUUGACAUUGUAGGGUAAAAAUAACUAAUGUCAACCAUAAUAAAGUAUCAUGAGGCAACUGAAUGAAAAAUAUUAAGUUUUUAUACGGCAACUCAGCUACCACUUCUUUACCAUAACUGGGAAACACAGGUUUUGGAGUUUUGUUUGGGUUUUUUUCUCUCUCAACCUGUACUUCCCUAAGAGAUAGGAUGAACAAAAUUGAAAGUGUGAAUAACAAAACUGUAAGUAGUGACAAGAGGAAAUAAGUCUACAGAGAGCACAUGUAUGGAGUCACAUGUAACACAAAAAUCUGAUUCUGUAGCAUGUCUUGAAAUGAUUUGUUUGCUGGCAAUGGGGAAGGCAAAUAAUCUACUCUGUCAUGUCACUAAGUUUAGUAAUGCUAAUAAAAAGGUUUUGAAGCGUAACUACUACUUGCAUGAGUAUUGACCUCACUGGGUCUAAUUCAAUGAAGUGCUUCACUGAAUGAAUAAGAAUUGCAAAACAGAGCAACUUGUUAGAUUAAAAAAUGGGGUAUUUUGCAAUCCUACUUUUUUUUUUUUUCCUGAGUAGCACUACUAGUUCCCAUCUGGGCCUGCAUAAGUCUCAUGCUUCUGGAAGCACUGAUAAAUUACAUUCCAAGAACAAUAAGCAAUGACUUUUAACUUUUGUGUGAAAUCACUUCAUAAUUUCCUGUUCAGAGACUGACAUUUCAUCAUUAAACAUAGGUCAAAGCUAUGUCUGCUUUGUUCAGUUUUAUUAGUAUAAUAGUAAUGAGAUUUGUCUCCCUUGUUAAGCAUCAGUUGUCUUAAUGUUCCAGGUGUUUGUAGUGGAGAAUGACUUGUCUGAAGCGACGUGGUGAUGACACAGAGAAGGAACAGAUGGCACAGAGCUGCCCCUGCUCCGUUCAUCGUGUCCAGUGGAAACAAUGACAAUACCACGCUGGCUCUUGGCAAAUUACGGAGCUCAGCAAGCAAAUCAGCCUGACUGGCAGACGUCUUGGAAAAGUAAACUGAAAUCUGCCUUGCACGGCUCUAGAGGGUACAUGGCUAUGGAUCACAUCACUACUGAAAGAGGUCUGUAGAGAAAUGUCUCAGGAAAGACAUUUUGCCUCAACCUGGUGCUUCUAAAGUGGUUUUUUUAGCCUUUGGCUUGGCUGAGUGGUUCUAUUGGCUUCACUGGGUCUAGUUAGCUGAGUUAAGGUUUUUUUUAUUUGAGUAAGAAUUGCAGAUUCAACUUUAUGAGAAAUUCCCAGAUAAGAGUAUAGUAAUGGCAUCAGGCUUGUAAUUGGAAGAAGAUAGAGCAGAAGGUACACUGGGCUCACUUGUGCUUGCUGCUGGAUUUCUGCAGCAGGCUCUUAGUUGCUAUAUGGUUAUUCUUUUUGUCUCGUGUGAUUUUUUUGCAUUAAUGUUGGUUUCGUCUGAUCAUGACGUUCUAGUCAGAUUCAUUUUAUUUUUGUAUCAUAAGAUAAAGACAGAACUCUAUCAGUUGCACAAUUUAUGAAGCCUUACUCCUUGCAAGGAGAUAAAAGUUGCAGGUGCUACAAAUGUCCUCAGGUUAGCUACAGAUUCUUGAUUGGAUUUAUGUAUCAUAUAUCAAUCAGAUAUAUGUAUCAGAUAGAAAAUCCCAACAACUUCCAAAUGCUAUGAGUACUCAAAGCUUAUUGACAUCUGGAUGCAGUCAGAAAACUGGUUCUGGUAAUACUGCCUAAGAAACCAGGCUGACAGCAUCUUUAUAUGCUUAAGGCUUUCAACCAUUGUCUUGUUAUCUUACUGUGCACUGUGAAGAACAAGGAGGUGCAGAGGUGUCAAGAGGCAGCUGUGCCAGCCCCAGGGUUCUGCAGGGGCUGCAUGGACCUGCCAGACAUGGAGGAGCCCUGCCUGUUGUACCAUGCCCUGCCCUGUUGCAGCACUGGUUGCGUGCAUCCACCUGUGCCACGGUUCUGAAUUGCUCUAGAUUAUUCCCUGACCGAUAUCAAACCAUUUUGUAUGUCCUUCAAGUUGUGCAAGGGCACUUGAGGGGAUCUUUCCACAUUAGUGUGCAGUUUUACACCCAGGUGUAGUGGCAAAUCCCUACUCAUUCCCACGUAUGUAUUGCUAGAUAAGGUGUAAAGAAGCAAAUGUAGAUAUGGGGUUCUUCCAUGUGAACAUUUAGGAAAUUUAGUCUACAGCCAGUGCUGGUGAAGUGUGGAUGACUCAAAAGACACCAAUGGAGGUGACUGACCAGCUGAUGGCUGGUAUUUUCUGUUGCUUUGUUGUAAUUGUGUCUCCCUAUCAGUUCAUGAAGUCAUCUACAUAUGCGAGGCAGGAAUUGCCUCCAACAUCCAUGUGUCCACAUACAUGAAAUAUAAAUAGAAGUCAUCAGUGGUACACAGAAUUUAUGAGACGGAUUUCUGUUGUAAGGGAAAUUGUUGUGAGAGCAAAAAGGAUUUUUUUACUGUGUAUUCCACUACUGGCAUGCUCUGCUGCCAAUUUAAACACUAUUAGAAUCUUGGAUUUUAACAGAGGAACAGGCUUGGGUUCCCAGUUUUUUCAGCUCGUGUUUGACAUCGGUGUUUGUCCACUCAAAACAAGCAUAAAGCUGCCGGGUGUCUUUGCUUAGAUGCUUAUUGUUUCGUGUGGUAUGUAAAUGUGAAUCUGUCAUGAACUGAAAUUAUCAAGGUCUUGCCAUUAGAUUGCAAGACCAUUUCACAACUGUGCUGUAAGUAACUGUAUUCUGGGGUGAGCAGGAAUCCUACAAAGUCCUUCUGGCUUAUGACAUGACAGUUUUCUGGGAUGAGCUCUCAUGCUUUCUUGCAACAUUUAUGUUUUUUUAUUAGUAGGUAAUCCAGUACUGCAAUUAUAAAUGGGGACACUGUGAAUCCAGUAUUGUUAUUUUAAAUGGGGACAUUGUGACCACUCCAAUGACGCUUCAUGUCUGACUGGGCCAAAAGUCUAGUGGGAGGUUAGAUGUUUCUGUCCCCAUUUCUUGGGUGCAUCAGCAGAUUUCAGCCUUUUAACCUGUCCUAUGUAACAAUGGGAGUGCAUACCAUAAAAGUGAUUUUCUUCACACGCUGAGAGACAACUUAGACAGAACCCUACCCCCCUCCUGUUUUCUCUGCUCUGUUGUUAAACCUUGGCCAAUUAACUGAGUAUAUUUUACUUCACUUUUGUACCAUACUCCUCAGCAAUUUGUCUCAGAGCAUUUAAAAAGGACUUAAACACUUUUAUCCUGAUUUUGAUGUGAGUUAGCAAAAAUCCACUGGCAUUAACAGGAUGAUGACAAAGCAAGGAAUAAAACCUAGAACCUGGGAAUUCAUUGAUGGUUUUCCUACAGAUUUAUAGCAAUUGCACUCAUGUCUUGCAAACUUUACUAGCAUUUUUGUAGAACAUGAUGUGUGGUCUGCUGGUAAUACUAGAAAUUCACCAUCUUCUUGCCAAUGUACGGAGGGUGACCAGUACCCAAGCCACUAAAGAGAAGGGCCCAUAUAAUCUUAGUAGGAUUGGUGUCCCCUGCAGUUAAAUACGUGCAGUUCUUUUAAGGUCAGCAUAGCAAAUUUUUUGCUCCCAGUUCCCAGAAUGUUAAAAAUAGGGUAUUGCUAGUGGUGGUUUUGGUGCUGCAAAGUAGACAAUUAUUGAGUCCUUCCUCCAGUGUCCAGGCAGCACAGCUCCUCAUAUCUUUGAGUAAUAGAUUUAGGUGCAGAUAACUGGUAAAAUGAUAGAUACGUAUCUAGAAGGCUGAGUAAUAGAUGAGGUGGCUUUGAGUAAGAUGGAGUUCUGAAGGACACAAUUCUUUUUUUAGGUUUUUUUGUUGGUUGGGCUUGGGUUUUUUGUUUGGUUGGUUUUUUGGCUUUGGGUUGGGUUUUUUUUUGUUUGGUCAGUUGGUUGGUUUGGUUUUUUGGGUGGUUUUCAUUUUGGUGGUGGUUUUUUUUGUUUUGGUUUUUGGUUUUUUUUGGUGGGUAUUUUGGUUUUGUUGUUGGGGUUUUUUGGUUUUUUUACUGCAGGAGAAAUAUCACAUUCUGUUUACAGAUCAUUUUUGUGUAUUUGGCCAGACUUGUCCCUUCUUGCUCUGAAUAGGAUCAGGGCAGGAAUUUUAGUCAACUUCUAGUGGUAUUUGUUUUGUGAGCACUGGCUUUUAGAUCAUGGUUAACAGAUAUCCAAAUGGACAGCUCUUCUCUGAGUUUUUUUUAAUUGCUCAUUUAAAGUCAUCUUUAAAUGUAGUAUUUUUUUAAAGUUCCAUUUGUUUGUUGUCUUAAAUAUUAUAGAUACUGAAAACUAAAAUUACUAUAACAUACUUAAUUCACUGUUACAUUCAUGUAAGGACACUGGUAUUUCAUGGGUCUUGAAACAGAUAUCAAGUGUAGACCUAGAACCUGGACCUGGCAGCAGAAUUUGCAUUAUCUGAAGCGUUAUCUGAUUGGAGAUUCCACCUCCCUUGUGAACCUAACAGGAAAAAAUAAAAGAGACAUAUGAGAUGUUAAUUUU